GGACUACCAGGGUUUCUAAUCCCGUUCGCUCCCCUGGCUUUCGCGUCUCAGCGUCAGAAAAGGUCCAGGGCCUCGCUUUCGCCACGGGCGUUCCUUCCGAUCUCAACGCAUUUCACCGCUCCACCGGAAGUUCCAGGCCCCCCUACCCCCCUCCAGGUCGGUCGUAUCCGCGCCCGUUCCCCGGUUGAGCCGGGGGAUUUCAACGACGGACGUGCCGACCCGCCUACACGCGCUUUAAGCCCAGUGAUUCCGAAUAACGUUCGCACGGUUCGUCUUACCGCGGCUGCUGGCAC
rnacentral:rRNA from 1 species